rnacentral:tRNA from 1 species
GUAUACUUAGUAUAAUAAAUAUAUUGGGUUUAGGACCUAAAGAUUUCUUAGUAUAUU